rnacentral:rRNA from 1 species
UACGUAUGGUGCAAGCGUUAUCCGGAUUUACUGGGCGUAAAGGGAGCGCAGGCGGCGCGCCAAGUCUGAUGUGAAACCCCGGGGCUCAACCCCGGGCAUGCAUUGGAAACUGGCGGGCUGGAGUGCCGGAGAGGUAAGCGGAAUUCCUAGUGUAGCGGUGAAAUGCGUAGAUAUUAGGAGGAACACCAGUGGCGAAGGCGGCCUGCUGGACGGUGACUGACGUUGAGGCUCGAAAGCGUGGGGAGCAAACAGG